rnacentral:rRNA from 1 species
AGUGAACGCUGGCGGUAGGCCUAACACAUGCAAGUCGAACGGCAGCACAGUAAGAGCUUGCUCUUACGGGUGGCGAGUGGCGGACGGGUGAGGAAUACAUCGGAAUCUACUUUUUCGUGGGGGAUAACGUAGGGAAACUUACGCUAAUACCGCAUACGACCUACGGGUGAAAGCAGGGGAUCUUCGGACCUUGCGCGAUUGAAUGAGCCGAUGUCGGAUUAGCUAGUUGGCGGGGUAAAGGCCCACCAAGGCGACGAUCCGUAGCUGGUCUGAGAGGAUGACAGGCAGUAAGAGACAUGAAACAAGGGACAGAGUCCGAAGGUAGGCAGCAGUGUGGAAGCGUCGGAAAUGGGGGGAAGCUUGACGGAACAACGCUGAGUGAGGAAAGAAGAGCUUCGGAUCGUAAAACUGUGUUAUUGGGGAAGAACAAAUGAGUAAGUAACGAUGCACGUGUGGAAGGUACCUGAGCAGAAAGACAAGAGUAAAUACGUG